UACUUUAUUAACAAAAAUUCAUAUAUACAAUAUGGUGAUCAUGAACAUUUUUCCCCAAUCGACAUGAAAUGUCAAAGUUACUAUAAAUUAAGAAAGCUAUAAUUUAUCUAUAUAAGGGAAUUAGGUGCCAUAUAUCAAGCUACGAGCCUUACUGCAACAGAAGUCUAGCUCCCCACUUUGUUAGACCAACUCCAGUCCAUUUAUUUUCAAUUUUUCACUUUCUCCGACAGAAAGGUGCAAGCUGUGUGCCCUUCCACACAUCAGAGACAAAGUUCUAGAUACAUGCCUACAAUCCCGAUCACUGCAAUGCUCAAUAAGAGUGGUUUCAGGGUUGCAGCGACUGAGCCAAUAAUUCUGACCAGGUCCGACUAGCUAGAACCAAUGGUGGAGGUGAGAGGUAAGCACGGCAAGAUGAACAUAAAAAAUGGAUGGUCUCUAUUUAUUUUAUUUGUUGCAACCCCAAUUAAAGAAAAACAUCUUAAGUCAAUCCCCUAAACAAACCUUCCAAUUUAGGCCAUUAGUAAUUCAGCAGUGACGUGAAAGCAUAAUGGCACUGGUUUUGUGAUCUCAUAUUAGGUACAAUUACCAAAAGCGAGAAGAAUGAUAACUAUUGGUUGCUUGUAUGUGCUUGCUUUCAUGCUUAUUUUAUCUAGUCAUUGGAAGCCAUUGAUCCUUUUAAAUCCCACCUUCGAUACUUGAAGAUAUAUAUAUAUAUAGAGAGAGAGAGAGAGAGAGAUAACUAUUGGUUGCUUGUAUGUGCUUCCUUUCAUGCUUAUUUUAUCUAGUCAUUGGAAGCCAUUGAUCCUUUUAAAUCCCACCUUCGAUACUUGAAGAUAUAUAUAUAUAUAUAUAUAUAGAGAGAGAGAGAGAGAGAGAGAGAGAGAGAGAGAGAGAUAACUAUUGGUUGCUUGUUUGUGCUUGCUUUCAUGCUUAUUUUAUCUAGUCAUUGGAAGCCAUUGAUCCUUUUAAAUCCCACCUUCGAUACUUGAAGAUAUAUAUAUAUAUAUAUAUAUAUAUAUAUAUAUAUAUAUAGAGAGAGAGAGAGAGAGAGAGAGAGAGAGAGAGAGAGUAAGCUAGCUGUCCACAGAAUACCCUUCUAUCUCCCCUUUCUUAACGUCAUGUUAAAAAUUAGAUCUAGAAUCCCCGGUUGACCCGCAGUGCUGAUCUUCAAAUUUGAUCUAAAAAUUAUUGCUGUGAAAAUUCAAAGGAGCAAACUUGUACAUAUUGGACUUGAAAAUUUGAGGAUGUGUUCCAAAUGCCAGCUCCUGCAUGAUGAUGUGCUGCACAUUUCAAGACAAAGCCUAAAAAUUAAUUAAAAUCCAAAGUUUUCUUCACCUGGUAAACCACCUCAGUGACAUAUUCUUUUGGGAAGGUUCAUCUCUGUCUUGACAUUUUCAACUAUUGUAAGAAUUGAUUCGUUGAAGGAGACCAAGAACAACCAACUACAAGAGGAUCUCUGAAAUGUUGUGUGGAACAUAAAUUUUCUGAAAAUAGCAAUCUAUGUGCCAUAAAAUGUUUCAGUGGGCACUGCUUAAUGCCCGUGUAGAGAGUCUAUUCUAAGGUAUUCAUCCAAUCAAUUAAUUAUGUACACAAAAGGGGGAAAAUAAGAAAGAAUGAAUUUGCACGUUCUCUCGGUGGGCCUAUGGAUAUGAAGAAAGCAAAUUGGUGGGUAUGCAUGGAGAGUUCUUCCAUGCCCUGGCAUGCAAUCUGAGGAUAUCUCUGGUUUUCUCCUUGGUCCUGCUCCCACAAUCCACUUGAAGCACUAAACACAAUUUCGCCACAACACCCAGCUGCGACAUCUCUUGAAGAACACUUGGAGUUGCAGAGAACUUGGAAAUGGAAUACAGAAUUCUCACUGCCCGUUCACUUGCCACGUGAGAAACCCUCAGUAUCUUCUUUGACACUAUAGCCAUCCCGGCUGCAUGCUUCAACAGUUCGGCUCUUCCUUCCGCGCACCCGCAUAGCUGAUCCAACACCGUUAGGAUCAUCUCACAAGCCCUUUUUUCUGAAGAAGCGAGAAGAAGCUCUGUCAAUAUCGAAACUGCGCCGGCUUCCACUGCUUUGACCUUGUUUCUCCCCCAUGGACAAACCUCAAUUAGUAGUUUGAGUGUAGCUUUUGUGGCCUGGUGAGAUAUAUGAUCCUGCAAAACUUGCACUGCUUCCACGAAGAAUUCGGGUUUCAAGGCGAUUAAUUGUAUUGGAUCAGCAACUUGGAGCAUCGAACUCAAUAGCAUUACAGCAUAAGCUCGGGACUCGUAGUUUCCUCGUUGUAGUACUCGUACCAAGCAACCCACAAAUUCACCAUUUUUUCCCACAAGCUUCUUGAGCCCGGCUUCUGACAGUAGGAGAUAAUGGAGAAUGCUUAGAGCUUCACUGCUCGCGCUCCUGGACUCUAGCCCUUUAUCUGAUUCCUCUUCGAAUGUUGUGAAGUUGGCUUUGCUCACUAUUGAAGCUAAGAAUUCAACUGCACCGGCGGACUCAAUGCACCGCUUGUUGGCGUCGCUCUCAGCCGCAAGGGCUCGAAGUUUUCCGAUACAUUUCAUCUGCAACUGUGGAGACUUAGCAUCAUUGAGAAGCUUCACGAUCUGGAUCUUGUUGAUCGGAAUCUUGGGCGUCGGAAUACGCUCUACACCGUUUGAAGCAUGGAGAGUACACCACGCCUGAAUCAGCCGCCGGAGAGUGUGGUUGGGAGUCAGAUCGGAGUCCGCCGACAGAACCUGUUUCGUCGCAGGACAGGUGUUAUUUUUGCCGGAAAACAACCACUUCUCGAUGCUCUCCCGAUCGUACGUUAUACCCGUUGACACCGUCACCGGAUCUUUCAUAAUCUCCAAAGAAAUCGGGCAGAGGAAAAAUGGAGGAACAUCGAUUUCUUCCAUCACCCAGAAGAUGAGCUGAAUCAAGAAUCAAGUUUAAAAGAAAUCUUGAGAAAUAUCAGAGGGUAGAAUUUGAAUUUGAACUUGAAGCUGUUGAGGAUAGUUGAGAUGUUUGAAGAUGGGAGGGAUCUGGGAUGAGAGCUUUAUAAAUAGGAGUGAGAGGUUCAAAACAUGAGAAAGUCAAAACACGGAAAAUAGGAACGUUGAGAAAGUGUGUAUGAUGAGAUAGAAGACUUUUCCAAGGGCUAGGAAAGGCUCAGGAAUCACAAACUUUACCAAGUCUAUCUCAUUAUAUCUGCACGUGCCCACUCCUUUGACUUUCUCUCUCUAACUCAACUCCAUUGGAUGCCGACAAGUUGUGUUGGGGAGGACGUGUGCGCUUCUUCGAUCACUCCCUCCCCAUAGCUGUGGCCAGCUCCGUUGACUAGCCGUUGGUACAGGGAACUUACUGUGCUCCUCAUCAAUAUCAGGCUUCUGAUUGCUCCUUUCUGGGUUAAAGUCAACUUAAAUCAUUUUUGACAUUAUCAAUGAAAGGUGGUGGGUUAUUAGGGUGGUUUGCUUCUGGAAUUUUCUGCAUUAACGGUCAAAUUUAGUGCUGGUUGGAUUUGAAUUUUGAGUUCAUUUUGAUUUCUUGGCUUAAUGGUUGUGCCUUUUUAGUGCUUUAGGGAGGUAGCCUUCCUUCAAUAUUGAGUUCGUACAUGCCAACUUGGAAGGUGGUUAAUGGAAAAUUAAAUUUUUUUUUAAGUAAUUACCAUAAGACAUUGUCCAAGACACUUCAUAAUCCAUAUAAGAAAAAUUAGUUUCAGAGCCCAAACGUAAGAUCACAUGAUAUCUUGAAUUCAAUUUGAUUUGAAUUUUAUAUGUUUCUUGAAUAGGAAUAACAACAGGUGAGUUUGAGACUAUUCACCUCCAUCUCAAUUAUAUCCCAUUUAUUUAAAAUAAUUUUCAUUCUUGUCUUAUUUAAAACAUUAAAUUAGACGGGAUGGGUAUGAAAAAUUCUCAUAUCCGUCCCACCUCGUCCUAUUUAACCUUUUUUUGAAAUUUUAAAAUUUUUUUAAAUCAUUUUUAAAUUUUUUAAUUACAUUAAAAUGAAUAUAUUUUAUAAAUAAAUAAAUUAUUAUAAUUUUUUAACUUAUUUUAUUAAAAAGUAUUUUAUUAUUAUCUAUAUAUUAAAAAUAAAAAAAAUUAAAUUAAUUUUAAAAAUUAAUUUUAUAUAUAAUUUUGACAAGACAACACCCAAACCUCUCUUGAACUCAUCUCGGAUUAAAAAGAAUCUCAAACUCAUCCUAUUAGAGACAGGACAAGAUGGGACGUAUAAGAUGGGUACUUGAAAAAACUCGUUACAUUAUUGUCCUUAUCCUUGAAAUGGUUUUCUUUGUUAUAUUUUAUGCUUAGUUUUAUCCUAAAAGGCUUUCAAAACGAAAUUUACACUAUCUUAAGUUUUAUCCUAAAAUGUUUUUAAAAUAAAAAUGAUAGGCAUCUUGCCCUUAAAAAAAGAAGAAUAAUUUAAAAUAAAUGAAUAAAUAUAUGCAUAAAGGACGAAUCUAUUGAUUUUAAGACAUAUUAAGUUAUAUUAAUUUCAAUGCGGGAUAGAGCCAAACUUAGUGAAUGGGAUUUGGAUGACGAUGAUGUGAAGUGUGUUGAUAAAUAUUGGGCUUGAACACGUGCUAGAAGAAACCCACUGCUAAGUAGCACCACUAGUAGUAGAAGAAGACUGCCCGCCGGCGGAGGCUGCAGGAAGAACCGGAGAGGCAAGUCGUUCAGGAUAUUGACCGAUCGCCUUGCCUCCAAGGGUUUGGCCAGUGAUCCUGACCCUGACCCUCGUGGAAGUGCCUUGGCUGACUCCGCCACUACCUCUUCUGGGCUACACGAUGCUUCCGCUUCCAAUAUUGAUCUUGCUCUUGUUUAUGCCAACUUCCUAAACCAGAAGCCGGAGCCAAAGUCAACAGGGUUUGAAAUGCCAGAAUUGCCUUGUGAAUUCCAUCCAUCUUUCCAGCUUUCAUCAACUCUUUCAACGUCGAACACCAGCCUGGAUUCAUCACAUAUUCAAUUACCGCCGGACACUCAUUUGAGUGAGGAUAACCAGGUCUAUCUUAGUGGCUUCCACCCUAUUCACACCCAUCAUGACCAUGACUCUGCCAAUAUUUAUGGGCUGCCACCACUGCCAGGCCAAGAGGUUGCUCCUCUGGAGAUGUUGUGGCCCAUUUCUCAAGCCAUGGUUCAGAAUCAGACCUUGCACGAGACACAAUUGCCAGCUCUGCACCCAGAAGCUGCUCAACAUCCAAAUCAUGUAGCUGUCACUGCUGGUAACUGGAGCCCAUUUGAUUUGUCAUGCUACGAAACCUUCUCUCGGCCUUGAGAGAUUCCAUUUUGCUUAUUGUUUUCUUGUUUUACUUGCUAUAUAAUCUUGUAUACAAUGGAAAGCUUAUAAUGAAAUAAUUUUCAGGUGUCAACAAAUAUAUGCUUUAUAGUUAAAUUCACAAUGAUAAAUACUUCCUAAAAGAACAGCCAUGACGUUUAACUUCUGGAGAGACUAGAUGUACCCAACAGUGCCAUAUUGGGAUUUCGUUUACAGAUCAUAUGAUGUGCUUCGUAAUGGAUCAAAGAGCCUCACUACAUGAGAAAUAAUAAUAAUAAUAGUAAUAAUAUAUAUGGUUUUGGCGGGACAAGUUUGUGAAAAUAAGGUUGAACUGCUCAGGCAAUGGAGAUUGAAAAAAGAGUGUUUGAGCUAAUUGAUGAUCUAAUCUCCUUAGUCCUGUACAACCUGAGCGAUACAGAAUAUCAAUUUCAUGUUGGGAUAAUCCUAAUUAUAUAUUAAGCAAUAUAUGCUGAUUGUCUGUUGCUAAUUUUACUAGUGGAUUAGGGUUGAGGAUUUGAGACCAAAUACAAAUAGAGCUGCCACCAUCAAGUGUGGAACUGGUUGAAGAAUAAUGUGCGGGAGUGCUGUUUCUGUUCAGCUACUAAUUACUCAAAAGAAUAAGCAAUGGGGAAAUAAGCCCAUAAUGUACAUCAAGUUAACAGCCAUUCCUCUGGGACAAUUUCCUUGGAAAGCUCUCGCCUUCGGGAUUUGAUCCUCAAGCCCACUUUCGUUGAGUCUUGAGGCCAGUACAGAACAAGCAGACCUUCUCUUCCUGAGUUUCAAAGAUUGUGCCUUGAAGGACUGAAGUUCAAAUCCCAGUUCUCGAUGAGCAAAUCAUUGAUCCUAACUAAUUAAGUGAAUUAAAUUAAUCUCCUUCAUCAAAGAAGAUUGUUUCCUUGGUUAAGAAACAUUUUGCAGACCAGUGGAUAUGUAGAUUAAGACAUUACUGAAAUCAAAGAAACAUGAGAAGCAGAUUUUAAUACUUUUAUCAGAUAGUUUCCGUAACUGUAGUUCGAGGCUCUCCUGUUUCCCUAUUGACAUAGAAUUAACUUUCUGAUUGUAGAGCUAAAGAUGCCAAUAAACUAUCUGGUCCAUCUUCUCAGAAGUGUCAAAUGGAACGAAAUUAAGAAUUGCAUGCAGUGGUUUUGGUUUGUUAUGAACCAUAUAGAUGGAGCAGCUAGCAUAUAUAAAAUGCUGAGUGGGGCGACAUUUCUGGGCAUGUGGAUUAGCAAAUUUGGCUUAGAAAAUUGAAAGACUUGUUAUGAGUCAUCACCAACAUAAAACUCAGGGCAUCACACAUGAUCCCAGACAGACCCAUGAUCCAAGAAUUAAAUUGUCUUCUCAUAAACAUAUCAGUGCUGACAAACUUCUAGGGCAAAGGAACUAUUAAGUCUGAUAGAAUCGGAUAAUUAAUUGAAGCUUAAUGAUCAGUAUAAAUUAUUAUCAAGAUAAGCUUCAUGAAUAUAUUAGUUUAAUACUUGGGGGAUUUUUACGCACUAUUUUUAUACUAGUAGUACGUGUAUCCUUGUGCGCGCCAUGAAAGAGAAGCCAUUGGCAUUGGAAGAGAUGCCAUCGCCUUUCUCAUAAGAGAAGAAUGACCAUGAUCAGACAAAGAGCUUCACUAGUGAUUUGCAGUUUGGCCUUAGCAUGUUUUAGUGUAGGCAAAUCAGGAGCCUCAGCAUGGUAUCUAGAGGGCACCCCCAGUUUGACCAGCUGCCUAUAUAUGUUGUUUGAAUUUUAUCUUUCAAAGAUUCAAUUUUUUUUCUUUUGUUUUCUUCAGUUCUGUAUUUUCGCUUCACUAUGAUAAUCAAAAAGUGAAAUUUUGUGACCAACUGCAAAGGCAUCUCAAAAUCCAGGUUACUGAAAAGAGACCAAAUCUAUAUGUGUAGCGUUAUAAUAAACAAUAAGCAGACUCAAUCCUCCUAGAAAGUAGUAGUUAAAGGAGGGAACCAGUAAAGUUUAUUAGUUCAACACAGGACCGAUUUCAUUUAAGAUCAAGACAAAUAAAUUAAUUAAUUGUGGACUUAGCUCCAGAACUUUGAAUUAGUCCAAUAAUUAAGCACAUACCAUUUCUUAUUCAAAUUUGGUGGCACGUACGUCUAAGUGGCCCGCGCCGCCCCACCCCCCACCCCACCUCGAAGUGGUUGCGAUUGAGUUGACCACUGCUAACUUGCUGAUAAAUUUUUAGAAUCACUGGUAUUUCUAUGUACAACAAGGGAUGUAUAUAUGGAUCUAAUCCACCAAUUGCUUACCUGGAAAUUAAUGUGGUUUAUAGCUACCAAGCUCACCUCAUUUCUCCAUUAAAUUAAAUUAAGGAUAAUAUUAAGAAGAUAUUUGAUAUAGUUUUAUACUUAAGUUGAUUCUAAGAUAAACCAUUGAUUUAAAACUUAUCAUUUGAUAAGUUUUAUAAAAUUUAUUUUAAAUCAUCAAAUUAACAUAUUUAACUUCAUGAGUUAAAACUAAUAUUUACCUAAUUAAUUUUAAACGAUAGUUACUUUAAUCAAUUUUAAUUAAUAAAUUUAUUCGUUAAACAUUUACAUUUAAAGUAUUAUAGAUAUAUAAAAUAAUUAACCAUAAAAUAAUUAUAAUAAAAAAGAAGUCAUGGAUAUGGAAUUAUGGUUAUAAAAUAUGCUCUUAUUAGUAGAAGUGGGUAAAUGAUGUUUAAAAAAAAAUGUUAAGAAGAAGUUAACUAUUUUAACAUAAUAUUUAAAAUUAUUUUUAAUUUUUAAUUAUGAUAUUAAAUUAUUUUAUCAGACAUAUUUAAUCUAUUUAAUGAUUUAAAUUAAGUUAUCGAGUCAUUAAAUAAAUUUACCAAACAUCAUUUAAACCAAAUAGUGCUUUUUUUUUUCUCUAAGUUCAAUUAUUGGUGGAUGACAUCUUCACUUUUUUUACUUUUAUUUUGUAAAUGAAUAUACGGAUGUAACAAAUUUCAUAACAACUCGCUAGAAAAUGCUUAAAAUGUAAAACAACUGGAACAAUUUUCUCUCUUCCAUGUAGAUAUUAUCCAUUAUGGGUCUAAUAGAUCUUCAUCAACUUUAAAAUACGUCUACUUGGUUAAGCUUCGUCCCAUAUAAAUGUUAUUCCCUGUGAGCCCCGUUAGCUUUCAUGGGUUUCAAAUACAUUUAAGAUAAACUCAUACAUGGAUAGUGUUAUAAACUUUCUCUAUUUGAUGUGAGAUAUCGCAUUACCCCUCAUGCAAACGAAGGAGAUAAACAUCCCUUUUUAGGCCAAACAAAAUCUCAUACCAUGGUAAGAAUUGGUUUUAAUAUCAUUUGGAAUCACUCAUUCCUUCAAUGACGCUCAUGACAUUGGAACGUGUCUACUUUAUUAACAAAAAUUCAUAUAUACAAUAUGGUGAUCAUGAACAUUUUUCCCCAAUCGACAUGAAAUGUCAAAGUUACUAUAAAUUAAGAAAGCUAUAAUUUAUCUAUAUAAGGGAAUUAGGUGCCAUAUAUCAAGCUACGAGCCUUACUGCAACAGAAGUCUAGCUCCCCACUUUGUUAGACCAACUCCAGUCCAUUUAUUUUCAAUUUUUCACUUUCUCCGACAGAAAGGUGCAAGCUGUGUGCCCUUCCACACAUCAGAGACAAAGUUCUAGAUACAUGCCUACAAUCCCGAUCACUGCAAUGCUCAAUAAGAGUGGUUUCAGGGUUGCAGCGACUGAGCCAAUAAUUCUGACCAGGUCCGACUAGCUAGAACCAAUGGUGGAGGUGAGAGGUAAGCACGGCAAGAUGAACAUAAAAAAUGGAUGGUCUCUAUUUAUUUUAUUUGUUGCAACCCCAAUUAAAGAAAAACAUCUUAAGUCAAUCCCCUAAACAAACCUUCCAAUUUAGGCCAUUAGUAAUUCAGCAGUGACGUGAAAGCAUAAUGGCACUGGUUUUGUGAUCUCAUAUUAGGUACAAUUACCAAAAGCGAGAAGAAUGAUAACUAUUGGUUGCUUGUAUGUGCUUGCUUUCAUGCUUAUUUUAUCUAGUCAUUGGAAGCCAUUGAUCCUUUUAAAUCCCACCU
rnacentral:lncRNA from 1 species